ensembl:lncRNA
CUCGAAAAGAGUAACACCGGAUCUCUCCGUGGAGUCCACUGGCCAAGACUCGGGUUCCCAUGGAAACGGGAGGAAGCUCUUUACGCCUGCGCUUAUGUGCUAGGCAUGCUGGGAAGUGUGGUUUCUGGGUCGUCACCGAGGCCCAACGAACGAACGCAAGAUGGCGCCCGAGCGUCGUCGAGGGUUUCGAAGACGAACCUUACUUCACAUCCUGGGUGCUGCCCUGCCAUGAAGGCCUGAAAGUUUUUCUGGGCAGCCUUGGAUCAGAGGAGUUUGGGGUGCAGGGUAAAGGGUCAGAGGCGCAGUCUCUACAGCGCGUUUGAUUUUAUUGUUUAAAAACGGCCUUACAGGGCUGGGGAUUUAGCUCAGUGUUUUAGCCGCCUGCUGCGCAAGCGCAAGGACACAAGUUCGAUCCCCGGUACCAAAAAAAAAAAAAAAAACCCAACAAAAAACGUCCUUACAAGGGAUUCCCCCUGUCUUGAGGCAGAGAGACGACCGCCUCCGUCCCUCCCCUACAAGGAGCCGGGUACCUGGCAGACAGAACGUUUUGAAGGCAGGAGCUGGCCCAGGAGGGACGGAGUAUCGGAGGGAUGCAAGCUCCGUUGCAGCAAAUGUUCAAAUUGGGGCUGAGCAAACUUUCUGUGUCAGGGAUUGAACUUCAGUCCUUGUGCUUGCAAGGACCUUGCACUUUUGAAGCAGGCCGUGGCACCACGGAGCCACAUCCCUGCUUCUGAAAGCCUGUUGUGAAGGAGUUGGUCAGUGAGGCAGAUCAGAUUCCUAUUUAAUGGACAGACAAUCAAUGAAACAGACACCUGCACAGUUGGAAAUGGAGGAGGAAGAUACAAUUGAUGUGUUCCAGCAGCAGACAGGAAGUGUCUACUAAAAAGAGAAUCUGCAACAACUUUACUCCAUAACUCUGUUCUUACAGACCAAGAAUACAUUCUCAAUUAGAAAACUGCAAUUUGGUUCCACCAUAUCCUGACUACUAUAGUAGUUUUCUCUAUUCUUUCAUUUACCCCUUCUCCAUUCCUUUAUUGUACAUAAAGUAUCGGGUGCAUGUGCACAAGCAUAUUGCUUUUUUUUUUUUUAACUAAAUGGCCAACAAUAUGUUUUGAUUGACAUCAAAUGGAGAUGGGAUGGGGAGAUACUAGUUCUGUGAAAAUAAUCCCCUCUCCAUUAGUGGCAUGCUCAUCAGCUCUUAUCUUUAUAUUCCAGUAAGUUAUUUUGCUCUGUUUUAACAGAAAAGACAACAACAUUGGGCUGGGGAUUUAGCUCAGUGGUUCUGCAGCCUGCCUUGCAAGCACAAGGUCCCGAGUUCGAUCCCCGGUACCAAAAGAAAAAAAAAAGAAAGAAAAGAAAAGACAACAACAUAAAUACCCUUGCAUACCUUGUUUGAUUGGAGAAUUUUAAUGUUUUUCAUUUAUCAUUGUGAAACCAAGGAUAAUUGUAUAACUUUUUUGUACAUAGCUGUUACAAGUAUGGCAAUCUGUACUUAUGUUGGAGUAAAUUACUCUUUAAAAGAAAGAGAAUCCUAGAUAGUUCUCCCUUUAAGUCAAGUGUCUUGUUGUUUAAAUAAACUUGUUUAAAAAAAA